CCUACGGGUGACAGCAGUGGGGAAUAUUGCACAAUGGGGGAAACCCUGAUGCAGCGACGCCGCGUGAGCGAAGAAGUAUUUCGGUGUUGAAAGCUCUAUCAGCAGGGAAGAAAAUGACGGUACCUGAGUAAGAAGCUCCGGCUAAAUACAUGCCAGCAGCCGCGGUAAUACGUAGGGAGCAAGCGUUAUCCGGAUUUACUGGGCGUAAAGGGAGCGUAGGCGGCCUGACAAGUCUGAUGUGAAAUACCGGGGCUUAACCCCGGAGCUGCAUGGGAAACUGGCAGGCUGGAGUGCCGGAGAGGUAGGCGGAAUGUAUGGUGUAGCGGUGAAAUGCGUAGAUAUUA
rnacentral:rRNA from 1 species